AACUCUGUGGUAACUAAUAGAUGGUAAUAUCUAGUGUGGACAGAUCUUUAAUUUAAACAUUUAUUUUUCCAGCAUAUGUUCACUUUCAGAGGGGAAAAGACAACAAACCAUUUAGUGAAGAGUAAGUUUGAGCUUUGUCAUUCAUUAGAAGGUCAUAAAUAACUGGAUUUCAAGUAACAUGAAAACCUCUGAGACCCUUCUAUCUUCAACAACUCUAGUAGUGUAGGACCCUUACAAAUUCAUGCUGGAAAGCCUUCAAAGGUACUUUAAAGAUACUUCAAGUAUCUUUAAAUCAUGGUAUCAUAAUUCCACCAGCCAUGAGAAACAGAAAGCCUCGAAGUUCUAGCAGUCAUAUGACAUCCAAAAAAGUGCUUUUGCCAAAAACAUUUAAAUAAAUAAACUAUUACUCUUCAGGCUUUGGCAUUCUGCAGAGACUGAGACUCAAAUAUCCCACACUAACACCGCCAGGUUUUGUGAGACUGAAAAUCCCUCUGGAGUAUUGCUGGCUCAACAUGCUGUAAAAAUAUUAGCAGAAAAACUGGAAGGAACAAUAUACAAAUCAAAGCUAAGAGAGAGAAAAGUCUGAGAAGCACAAGACCCACUCGAGUCCUUGUUUCAAGUCCUACAGAGAGAAGAUUUCAUACUGAUUUCCUACAGAUCUUGAGCCAUGGCAGGUCAAGCGCUUGUUUUAAAGAGAUGGCCUUGCAAAGGAAAAAGAAGUGGAGAUCUUUGUACAGAACCAGAAGUACAUGUGAAUCAACAUCAGAAGUAUUUGAUGAGAAAGCAAAGUUAUUAUAGAAGGAUGCCUCUCUUUUCCUAAGACAAUGGUGUAGUGAAAGCAAAUCUUUUUCCCUUAUAAUUUGGGCAACACAACAUUUACUCACUGAGUAAUACAAUCAAGAAAGUGAUCUUAAACUUUUUUUAAUAUCCUGCUUUUACUAUCACUAUUUAUGGAAGUCAAACAAAAAGAAAGAGAAAAAAAGUUGCACUGUACAUCAAGAAGAGUUGCUGUGAAGUACAGGAAGAGGCAAGAUGAAGAUUUGUUAAACAAUCCUGGAAGAAGAUGAAAAGGGAAAACCAGGGUAUAUUACGAUAGAAGUUUAUUAUAGACUAGCUUUUUGGGUGGAGAGAAGUUGUGUUUUUUGAUCAUGCAAGGGAAGCAUCCAAAAGGACAGAACCUGAUGGCUUUAAUUACUUCUUGGAAUUAAUUUUUUUCUGUUGGAAAAUAAAUACAAGAAGGAGACAGUCCAACAAGUUCUUGGAAUAUGCUGGGGACAGCCUUUUCUUCAGAAGGUAAAGAAAACCAUUAAGGGUGUGGCUAUUUUAGAUCUGCUGACUAGUAGGGCACGAACUGGCUGAGAGUGGAAGGCAAUCUAGGUGAAAGUGAACUCCAUCAUUUAAUAAUCACUACCACAAAAACGGAAAGAAGCAAAACAAAAUUAGUCUUUUUUUCCCAGAAAACAAAACCAAAAUUUCACAAGCUCCAGAGACUGAUAAGCAAGGUUUCUUAGGAAGACUGUUUAAUUAAUAUAAGAAUGUAGGAGAGCUUGUCUGUUUUAGUCAUUGCUGGAGUCAGUUCUUAAUUACCCGAGGUAAAGGGAAUAAUAUGAAUUAGGUAAAAACAGAGGAUAAAACAAAUUAGUCUGGGUACAUUAUUCUGCAAGACUCUACUCAGUACAUUUACCUUUGAAAGGCUUCUGAACAGAUUUCCACAGAAAGAGCAGCAACAGAGAGGAGUCUGAUGCAAACAGUUUAUGUUUUGUAAUGCACCGUUUUCUACCAGUCUCCCACAAGAAAUUCUGUGAGAAGGUAGGGCUUCCUUAAAUCCCAAUUCCCAUAAACCAUCUGUCAUCAGCAGGUGACUGUAUUAUUGCACACAUUAGGAGAUUAUCCCAGUACAAAAGAAACUGCUGAAUUCACAUACACACACACACACCCCCAGGCAAUUUCCUUGAUUUUUAUGGUUUAUCUAACAAUCAGACCUUUGCGUUAUACAUCAAAGUGUAAAAUUAUGUGGCCUGGUCUCACUCGUUUUCAGAAGUUUCAUUUAAAAGGUUGUAAAUGUUCUUAGUACAAAUGGAUUGGUUCCAAGUUAGAGAAAUGACACCCCACCAGUUUAAUUUAGCUGUAAGUAUGAACAAAUUAUUCCAAAAGAAGAACUAAAUGCCAGCUCAGAGCUUUCUAAGCAACAGCUGAAUCCUGCUAUUCUUUCCACUGAAAAAUACCAAACCUCUACUUGCUUUUCUAGAAGUCCUUGCAAGGAGCUAAUAUACAAGACAGCAACAGAGUGAACAGCAAUUUUUUCUGUGGGAAAGCCAAUUCCCCAGCUAGCUCUACUACAAUGGAAUGCCAUCCCAGCAUAGUAAUGUGCCAUUCUGCUGUUUUGUGAAGAACUGAGAUCUUUUUAUAGGAUGUUUCAACAGUAUCAAUAGAACUAAGGUGCUGAAUGAGACCAAAAGGGAUGUUUGGGGUUUGUGUUAUUUGUGUAUUCAGCUAAAGACCAAUGAAUCUUUUCCAAAUGCAGAAAUUAGUAAAUGAGAUUUCCUGGCUUGAGAAGACUAGACCAUAAAAGUAUUUGUUUUAAAGACAGAAUAUUUUAAGCCUUCAUCAAAUACAUUCAGAUGAAUAUUAGUUCCACAAGGAAGAAGAAAGCAACUUUUUCAAUUACUGGCCUGCUGAGUACUUUUGUUAAUGUGGAAAAACAGUAUUUCUCUCUCCAUGGAAAGAUUACAAUAAAGACAAGAAUGGCAUUGCACAACUUUGUCUGCAAUCUGAAAUUAAGUUCUCACAUUAGAACAGGAGUAAUUAGCAUUUUCCCUAGCUUGCUUCCAUGCAGUAAUACUGCUGCCAAGCAAAUGAGUAACACUACAUGAGCUAAAUGAACACUAGAAACAAACGUGUAGCCAUUCCUCCUUGUCUGGGAAAAAAACUUACACAGUAAGCGAAGAAAACAGUAUGGGUUAAGAGGAGAACUGUAGAAAUGUAGGUGCUGUUCCUUUAUUAUUUUGGCUUAUAUAUUUUUUAUGGAAAAAAAAGGAAAAAGCCAUAUGGUUUGUGGGAGCAUGUGGAAGAUCUCCUCGAGCCAUUUUCUUUGUUGUCUCUUCAUGCCAGCUAUAGUCAUUAUGUACCUUCCUUAUUUCCACACAUGUUAUUAGUUUGAAAAUUUUCCAGUACUUCAAACACAGGUCUUUUAAAGGAAGAUUACAAUUAUGCCUUCUGUUAAAUCCUGUUUUCAGAAUAGACAUCUUCAUGAUGUAUGUAAGCAUGUUUGUGUAUAUCUACAUUUAUAUAAAGGCACAUAUUUCAUUUUCUCUUACCUUUCUAAGUGCUGCUGGUAAUGAGGCAGUAGACAUUGAUAUCGCUGGCAGAGCGUAAGAGUGGGGACAGGUUACUGACGACGGUGCUUGGCUCUCCUGAACAGUGUAGCGUCUGCCCGAUACAUCAUAGUACCUGCGAGGAGAGGAAACACUGUUCAACUACUGCACCCUAGCAAAAUAAAGCCUGAGUUAGUAUUCGUUGUAUUUCUGAGAAAACACUAAGAUGUUUUCUCCUGUUGCAGUGGCUCCGGGCCUCUGGUACUUCUAAAGUUUACUGCUUUAUUUUAGCCAAACUACUUGCUCCUCUUAUUAGACAUUAAUUCAUCCCACCUGCUUUAGCUCUCUGAAACUAAUCUGUCAGCUUUUUCCUGAUAAUAAAGCAACCAAAAUCCAAAUACAGUACUCAGCAGGAUAACCACAUCAGAGCCACAAGGCAGAAAAAUUAGUCGUCUUAUCUCCUGUCACUCCACCUCUUCAGAGACAGCAGAUUACAACAUUUGGAGUUUAUAGCUCCACAUUACAUCACAUGUUCCAUUCACUUUCCUUCUGGAAGAUGUCUCAGUAAAGAAUCAGUUGAAUUCUCAGAACAAGUCAUUUACUGGGAAGAGGCUGUCACAAUAAAAGUGUCUACAAUCUUCAAAACAAUACAUUCAUUUUUAGCAAGUCAGUCCUAAAAUUUAAGGAACCUAAUUUUUCUUAUAUUUAUUCUGCGGUGUCAAUUUUCAAAUUCUGAAUCCAAAGAAUGUGAAAAAUUUUACUUAGUCUCCUCCCAAGAGAGAAAUAAAAUUGUAAAAACUGACCAAGUUAUAAAAUCUCUCACUUCACUGUCUGAAAAACCGAAGUAGCAAGAAUCCAGAAUUCUCUGAAGAUAGUUUUAUUAAAAGGUUAAUAAAUAUAACACUUUAUAUAUUUUUUUCCUUUAGAUGAUUCAACAAUUGGUUAAAAUUCAGCUUUUUAGAAAUUGUAUGUAUUUUGAUAUUUUUAUUUCAAAAUUGGACUAAAUUUUUCCUAGGAUCAUAGGACAAUUCCGUUUUGAAGGGAUGCCAGGAGGUCCCUGGUCCAGUGUCCUGCCUGAAGUGGGGGUCAGCUAUGGGAUCCCUCAGGGCUUUACCCAACCAACUCUUGAAAAUAUGCAAGGACAGAGACAUCACAACCUCUCUGGACAACAGAGAAAAUGUUUUCUCUUACAUCCAAUCUGAGUCUCUCCUUUAUCAACUUUUCCCAGUAUUCUCGUUUUCCCACCAUGCACCACUGUGAAAAGUCUGGGUUCCUCUCCAUCACCGCUCAAAGAUGCCUCCUCUCCAAAACUGAACAAGCCCCAAUUCUCCAUCCUCUCCUCAGAGGGCAAGUGGAGCCUCACAGGCAACCACCAUACUGGUGGCCAUUCAGUGAACUCACCCCAGUUUGAAACACUGAGAGGUCUUUAGGCAGAAAAAAUCCCCUCAUCAAAUAUUUUGCUUUCAGGGGAAAAAAAGAAGUCUCAAAAUGUUCUUGGGGAUUUUUUGUCCUUAAAAUACGCAUAUUUUCCAUUUUGGUUGGAACAAAACUCCUUUUUUCCCACAGGCUUCUUUUCCAGACUCAUCAUAUUGUCCCAAAUCCAGCUCUGUUUGUACAGCUUUAUUUGCAAAUUCAGUUUUAUAACUGACUUUCAUAUAGAGUUUUCAAAGAGUAAAUAAGUGAGCAGGAAAGCCUCGGGCAUAUUUAUAAAGUUGUUCAGUUUAUUGCAUAAUUGUGGUGAAAAUGUUUUGACAUUUUAACACAUCCCAAUAAACAUGUGCAAUUA